AUUGCGUCAGGAAGAUUUACCACAAUACAGUUUCAGACAGAAAACUGCUCAGCUUUUCUCCCAUUUUUAAUCACCUUAUGUCUUUUAUAGCUACAAAUGAUCAUGUAGCGUCAGGAUAUUUUGAUAGUGUUAGCAAAUAAGCACUGCUAGUCUGCUACCACAAACAGGUUAAGGAUUUUGACUGCAGUUACACUAGAUGAACACACGGGGGAGUCCGCGCUCCAUUCUUCGCCUGGAAUGCUGAUGCAGCGUGACUACACUCACUACAGAUGGCCGUUUCCUGGUUGUUUAUGGAACAUGGGGGCAGGGAUGGAGCAUGUUUCAACAUCUCCUCGAAUGCCACGACAACAGAUAAAAGAGGACCAGGAUGAAGACAUUGAAUGAAAACGUGAGUCAGCACAACACUGGAAGAUGAAAGGAAAGAUGAACACGGAGACACCUGUAAACUAAACGUUUCUGUCUGCGAAUUAAUAAUUCGAAGAGCCACGCCAGGUUUCACUCAGCCUAAGGUUAGAUCAACAGUGUCUUGCAAAAUAAUAUCAGCAAAACUGGGACGAACGGAAAGAGAAGGAGAAAAAUGAAAUGUGUACGGCAGGGUGAUAUGUUUAUGACGUGAGGAGGAACAGGAAAAGACGUUCUGAAGGUCCAUGUUUGGUUUGAGCAGCAUGAUAAAUUAUACACACAUGUAGAGUAUGAACCGUGUUCAACAGCUGUUAUCAUUACAUCAGAUAAAACGGAGGCAGUGUCUGGAAAACAUCACAUCUCUGUGUACUUGAUGGCACAAACACACUUACUUAAAUGCAGAUUGAACAUAUGCUUCUAUUUUUUUUAUACAAAGCAAAUGAUCAUUUCUUCAGACUUUUUGCACUUUUAGAAUAAAAAUAAAAAUUGAUUUAUGAAUCAGACACCUCUGAUUGUCACCAAAGAAAACUUUUGUCCCCAAACUAUAGCUAAGCAAACCGACUAC